AGAGUAGAAAACACGCGUCAAGUGUUGCUGAACGGGACGUUGUCAGUAAACGAAGGGAUAACCGCGGUGUGUUUUUGCGUCCGCU
rnacentral:ncRNA from 1 species